GCCCAAGAGAUCGGGAUAACACCUGGAAACAGAUGCUAAUACCGGAUAACAACAGAUGAUGCCUAUCAACUGUUUAAAAGAUGGUUCUGCUAUCACUCUUGGAUGGACCUGCGGUGCAUUAGCUAGUUGGUAGGGUAACGGCCUACCAAGGCGAUGAUGCAUAGCCGAGUCGAGAGACUGAUCGGCCACAUUGGGACUGAGACACGGCCCAAACUCCUACGGGAGGCAGCAGCG
rnacentral:rRNA from 1 species